AGGUCCAUUAGCGUAUAUUAAAGUUGUUGCAGUUAAAAAGCUCGUAGUUGGAUUUCAGUACGGGCCAGUUGGUCGGCCGCAAGGCUUGUCACUGGCUGGUCUGUUCUUCUUCUCAAAGACUGCGUGUGCUCUUCGCUGAGUGUGCGUAGCAUUUGGGACGUUUACUUUGAAAAAAUUAGAGUGUUCAAGGCAGGCUACAUAGCUUGAAUACAUGAGCAUGGAAUAAUGGAAUAGGACUACGGUCCCUAUUUGUUGGUUUCGAGGACCGAAGUAAUGAUUAAGAGGGACAGUUGGGGUCAUCCGUAUUUCGUAGUCAGAGGUGAAAUUCUUGGAUCUGCGAAAGACGAACAACUGCGAAAGCAUUUGCCAAGAGUGUUUUCAUUAAUCAAGAACGAAAGUA
rnacentral:rRNA from 1 species